GCGAGUGGCGGUGGUAGACGCACCAGAUUUAGGUUCUGGCGCCGCAAGGUGUGAGAGUUCAAGUCUCUCCUUCCGCACCA
rnacentral:tRNA from 1 species